rnacentral:rRNA from 1 species
UAGUCCACGCCGUAAACGAUGGUCACUAGUUGUUGGGGCUUUAUACCUCAGUGAUUAAGCGAAAGUGAUAAGUGACCCACCUGGGGAGUACGAUCGCAAGAAUGAAACUCAAAGGAAUUGACGGGGGCCCGCACAAGCGGUGGAGCAUGUGGUUUAAUUCGAUGAUACGCGAGGAACCUUACCAGGGCUUAAAUGUAGUAUGACAGGUUUAGAGAUAGACUUUUCUUCGGACAUAUUACAAGGUGCUGCAUGGUUGUCGUCAGCUCGUGCCGUGAGGUGUCAGGUUAAGUCCUAUAACGAGCGCAACCCCUGUUGUUAGUUGCCAUCGAGUAAUGUCGGGAACUCUAACAAGACUGCCGGUGCAAACCGCGAGGAAGGUGGGGAUGACGUCAAAUCAUCACGGCCCUUACGUCCUGGGCCACACACGUGCUACAAUGGUAGGUACAGAGAGCAGCCACUUUGCGAGAAGGAGCGAAUCUAUAAAACCUAUCACAGUUCGGA